UUUUUUUUUUUUUUUUUAAUUUUUUGGUGUUCUUCUUUCUUAUUGCAAUAUGCACUCUCUAGUUUUGGGAAAAGGCGCUCAGACCUGAAGGCAGUUUGUUUAGGGCAACAGAUACAGUAUACAGAGUCUGCUAAUGUCACCAGCUUCCGAUAGGAAAGACUUUUUUUCCAGCGGGUGCUGUAGGUGUGUUUUUCAGGCCUCUUGGAAGAGAUUUUUCUCAAGGAUAUUCCGUGACAGGGAUACAAACUCAGGUAAUACAUGGUUCUUUCUGUCAGAUAGUUUAGAAUCUAACCAGAAAAACACACAACUGAUGAUUACAAAUGAGUGUGACAAAUUCUUUUGAGUCACUAAUUUACUAGGAUAGAUGGCAUUAUUUUAUCUUAAAGUGAUUUGCAAGGCUGCUGUUUUCACAACAAAAGGUGACACAUAAAGUGCUCUGCUACAGAGUAAUAGUCCAUGAGCUAUAAUUUGGACAUACUUUUUAAAAUAAGCUUUGUUUCCUAAUUUCUGUGGCAGAUAUAAGUUGAAUUCUGAUAACAAGAUAGGAAAAACUGGUAAAGACACCAUAAACGAAUUUCAGAAAUCCAGCUCUCAGGGGCAGUUUGCUGCGUGAGUGAAAAACCAGAAGUAACCCCCAGCAACGUCACUGGAUCGCAGUGGUCAUUGUUCAAGGCUUGGGGCUUUGCAGUCAGACACAUGGGGAUUCAAUUUCUGGCUCUAUGUGAAUUGUGUGAUCUUGGAUAAGUUACUUACCUGGUGGUGUACAUCUCAUUUCCUCACCUGUAAGAUGCCUCAGAAAUUACUUCGAAGACUACAAGAAAUUGGUGAUGUAGAAGUUCAUAGUAUAUUGCCUGGUACCUAACAAGCCCUUAAAAUCUAUUUACGAGCUUUAUGUUACCGUGAUAAUGCCCCUGAAUCAGUCUUAAGAUAUUUUAAACAAUUCUCAAGGUAUCCAUUCAAGGAAGUGUCAAAAUCAAAGGGAGUGAGAUAAAGAUGUGAGAGAGGGUUCAUGACAGGGCACCUAGACCUCAGAAAGAGUUGCCAUCAAUCUGGUCCCCAACCAUGACAGGCCAGAUACUCAGUUGUUCACGAUGCAUCUUUUAAGAGGGACUCACAAGGUUGGAUGCAUACCACUUACUUUGGGCUCACUGGUGGUGGAGACCAUGCUAUCUGUACAUUACAGUUCAACAGCCAGAGCACUUUUUUUUUUUUUUUUCCUGUGUUAUAUCCUAGAAACGAUAUGGUCACGAGCUGUUUGCACAGUGAGCACAGAAGCAAAUCAAAGCUACUGACAUUGUCUUGUGGAAUUUUUUUAUUCAAGACUCUUAAAAGCCCAAUGAGACCUCCUGACCCAGAAGAGUACGCCUUUCUCCCAGCCAGUGAGAUCAGGGUCUCUUUCCUUUGGUCAUGCUGCAGAAAAUAGUCUUCCUGACCUUUUGCUCUUUUUCACUGUCCUUUUAUUUAUUUAUUUUUUUUUUUUCAGUAUUCUAUGAAGACCACCAUCCUGGUUUCUUCAUACAGCUGUAACAAAUCACCCCAAACUUAGUGGCUUAAUCCAAGGUACAUCUCAGCGUUGUGGGGGUUAGAAGUCUGAGUGGAUCUCACUGGGCUCCAGUCCAGGUGUUGGCAGGGCCGGGCUUUCUUACGGAGGCUCUAGGAGACAAUCUGUUUCCUGCCUUUUCCCAGCUUCUGGAAGCUGCCUGUAUUCCCUGGCUCCUGGCCCCCUUCCAUCUUCCGAGCCAGCAGAGUAACAUUGCAAAUCAGUCUCUGUCUCUUUCUCUGUCCUUCCCUCUCCAUCUGAUUCUCCCGCCACUUCCUUUUGCUUACCUUGAUCCUUGUUAGUGCAUUGGGCCUGCCUUGAUAACACUUGAUUACCUCCCUCCCCCAUCACGAAUCUUAACUUAAUCACAGUUGCACAAUGUCUUCUGCGUGUAAGGUGACAUAGUCACAGGCUCCUGGGUUGGGGGGGACAUU
rnacentral:lncRNA from 1 species